UGCGUAGGGUGCAAGCGUUAAUCGGAAUUACUGGGCGUAAAGCGUGCGCAGGCGGUUGUGCAAGACAGAUGUGAAAUCCCCGGGCUCAACCUGGGAAUUGCAUUUGUGACUGCACGGCUAGAGUGUGUCAGAGGGGGGUAGAAUUCCACGUGUAGCAGUGAAAUGCGUAGAGAUGUGGAGGAAUACCGAUGGCGAAGGCAGCCCCCUGGGAUAACACUGACGCUCAUGCACGAAAGCGUGGGGAGCAAACAGG
rnacentral:rRNA from 1 species